rnacentral:rRNA from 1 species
AAUCAACGCUGGCGGCGUGCCUCAGACAUGCAAGACGAACGAUUAAAGCUCUCUUCGGAGAGUGCAUAAAGUGGCGCACGGGUGAGUAACACGUAAGUAAUCUACCUUCGAGUGGGGAAUAACGUCCGGAAACGGACGCUAAUACCGCAUAAUGCAGCGGCACCUAAUGGUGACAGUUGUUAAAGAAUUUAUUCGCUUGAAGAGGAGCUUGCGGCAGAUUAGCUAGUUGGUAAGGUAAUGGCUUACCAAGGCUUCGAUCUGUAACCGGUCUAAGAGGACGGUCGGUCACACUGACACUGAAUAACGGGUCAGACUCCUACGGGAGGCAGCAGUCGGGAAUUUUGGGCAAUGGGCGAAAGCCUGACCCAGCAACGCCGCGUGAAGGAUGAAGUAUUUCGGUAUGUAAACUUCGAAAGAAUGGGAAGAAUCAAUGACGGUACCAUUUAUAAGGUCCGGCUAACUACGUGCCAGCCGCCGCCGUAA